UACAGAGGGUGCAAGCGUUAAUCGGAAUUACUGGGCGUAAAGCGUGCGUAGACGGUUAUUUAAGUCAGGUGUGAAAGCCCCGGGCUCAACCUGGGAAUUGCAUUUGAGACUGAAUAGCUAGGGUGCGGAAGAGGGAAGCGGAAUUUCCGGUGUAGCGGUGAAAUGCGUAGAUAUCGGAAGGAACACCAGUGGCGAAAGCGGCUCCUGGUCCAGCACCGACGUUCAGGCACGAAAGCGUGGGGAGCAAACAGG
rnacentral:rRNA from 1 species